GACGAACGCUGGCGGCGUGCUUAACACAUGCAAGUCGAACGGAAAGGCCCUGCUUUUGUGGGGUGCUCGGGUGGCGAACGGGUGAGUAACACGUGAGUAACCUGCCCUUGACUUUGGGAUAACUUCAGGAAACUGGGGCUAAUACCGGAUAGGAGCUCCUGCUGCAUGGUGGGGGUUGGAAAGUUUCGGCGGUUGGGGAUGGACUCGCGGCUUAUCAGCUUGUUGGUGGGGUAGUGGCUUACCAAGGCUUUGACGGGUAGCCGGCCUGAGAGGGUGACCGGCCACAUUGGGACUGAGAUACGGCCCAGACUCCUACGGGAGGCAGCAGUGGGGAAUAUUGCACAAUGGGCGGAAGCCUGAUGCAGCAACGCCGUGUGCGGGAUGACGGCCUUCGGGUUGUAAACCGCUUUCGCCUGUGACGAAGCGUGAGUGACGGUAAUGGGUAAAGAAGCACCGGCUAACUACGUG
rnacentral:rRNA from 1 species